rnacentral:rRNA from 1 species
UACGUAGGGGGCGAGCGUUGUCCGGAAUUAUUGGGCGUAAAGAGCGCGCAGGCGGUCGGAUAAGUCGAAUGUGAAAGCCCCCGGCUCAACUGGGGAGGGUCAUUCGAUACUGUUCGACUCGAAGGCAGGAGAGGGGAGUGGAAUUCCCGGUGUAGUGGUGAAAUGCGUAGAUAUCGGGAGGAACACCAGUGGCGAAGGCGACUUCCUGGCCUGUUCUUGACGCUGAGGCGCGAAAGCUAGGGGAGCAAACGGG